rnacentral:sRNA from 1 species
UGACCAACUUGCUUAAGCAAUCUUGAGAA